rnacentral:rRNA from 1 species
GACGAACCGUGCGAACGUUAUUCGGAAUCAUUGGGCUUAAAGGGCGCGUAGGCGGCGGCGUAAGUUGGAAGUGAAAUCCCAUCGGCUCAACCGAGGAAUAGCUUUCAGUACUGCGUCGCUCGAGUGAGAUAGGGGUCCGUGGAACUACCGGUGGAGCGGUGAAAUGUGUUGAUAUCGGUGGGAACGCCAGUGGCGAAAGCGACGGACUGGACCUUUACUGACGCUGAGGCGCGAAAGCUAGGGGAGCAAACGGG